UACGUAGGGUGCGAGCGUUGUCCGGAAUUACUGGGCGUAAAGAGCUCGUAGGUGGUUUGUCGCGUUGUCCGUGAAAACUCACAGCUCAACUGUGGGCGUGCGGGCGAUACGGGCAGACUGGAGUACUGCAGGGGAGACUGGAAUUCCUGGUGUAGCGGUGGAAUGCGCAGAUAUCAGGAGGAACACCGGUGGCGAAGGCGGGUCUCGUGGGCCGAUACUGACGCUGAGGAGCGAAAGCGUGGGGAGCGAACAGG
rnacentral:rRNA from 1 species